rnacentral:rRNA from 1 species
AUACGGAGGGAGCAAGCGUUGUUCGGAAUCACUGGGCGUAAAGCGAGUGUAGGUUGUCAGGUAAGUAGGAUGUGAAAGCCCGGGGCUCAACCCCGGAAUUGCAUUCUAAACUGCCUGGCUAGAGUCCCGGAGAGGGAGGUGGAAUUCCGAGUGUAGAGGUGAAAUUCGUAGAUAUUCGGAGGAACACCAGAGGCGAAGGCGACCUCCUGGACGGUGACUGACACUGAGACUCGAAAGCGUGGGGAGCAAACAGGAUUAGAAACCCUAGUAGUCC